UUGAGGUUUGUACGAAGUUCGUUCUGAAAUGGGGUGGUUGGUGUAUUGUAUUGUUCUAGAGAUUGGAUUUAACUCAAAACCCACCAAAUGACUCCUCCCACAAUAUGAUGAUGUUCCCCAAGUUUUGGACUCAAUUCGAUAUCGAUCGGUCCACGAAAUUUGACAAUUCAGGUUCGUACGAAGUUCGUUCUGAAAUGGGGUGGUUGGGGUAUUGUAUAGUUCUAGAGACUGAAUUUCACUCAAAACCCACCCAAUGACUCCUCCCACAGUAUUAUGAUGUUCCCCUUGUUUUGGACUCAAUCCGAUAUCGAUUGGUCCUUGAAAUCGGACAAUUCAGGUUCCUACGAAGUUCGUUCUGAAACGGGGUGGUUGGUGUAUUGUAUAGUUCUAAAGAUUGGAUUUCUCUCAAAACCCACCAAAUGACUCCUCCCACAAUAUUAUGAUGUUCCCCAAGUUUUGGACUCAAUCCGAUAUCGAUUGGUCCUUUAAAUCGAACAAUUCAGGUUCGCACGAAGUUCGUUCUGAAAUGGGGUGGUUGGUGUAUUGUAUAGUUCUAGGGAUUGUAUUUCACUCAAAACUUACCAAAUGACUCCUCCCACAAUAUUAUGAUGUUCCCCAAGUUUUGGAGUCAAUCCGAUAUCGAUUGGUCCUUGAAAUCGGACAAUUCAGUUUCCUACGAAGUUCGUUCUGAUAUGGGGUGGUUGGUGUAUUGUAUAGUUCUAGAGAUUCGAUUUCACUCAAAACCCACCAAAUGACUCCUCCCACAAUAUUAUGAUGUUCCCCAAGUUUUGGACUCAAUCCGAUAUCGAUCGGUCCACGAAAUUUGACAAUUCAGGUUCGUACGAAGUUCGUUCUGAAAUAGAGUGGUUGGUGUAUUGCAUACUUCUAGGGAUUGUAUUUCACUCAAAACCCACCAAAUGACUCCUCCCACAAUAUUAUGAUGUUCCCCAAGUUUUGGACUCCAUCCGAUAUCGAUUGGUCCUUGAAACCGGACAAUUCAGGUUCGCACGAAGUUCGUUCUGAAAUGGCGUGGUCGGUGUAUUGUAUAGUUCUAGAGAUUGGAUUUCACUCAAAACCCGCCAACUGACUCGUCCCACAACAUUAUGAUGUUCUCCAAGUUUUGGACUCAAUCCGAUAUCGAUUGGUCCUUGAAAUCGGACAAUUCAGGUUCGUACGAAGUUCGCUCUUAAUGGGGUGGUUGGUGUAUUGUAUAGUUCUAGAAAUUGGAUUUCAAUCAAAACCCACCAAAUGACUCCUCCCACAAUAUUACGAUGUUCCCCAAGUUUUGGACUCAAUCCGAUAUCGAUUGGUCCUUGAAAUCGGACAAUUCUGGUUCCUUCGAAGUUCGUUCUUAAAUGGGGUGGUCGGUGUAUUGUAUAGUUCUAGCGAUUGGAUUUCACUCAAAACCCACCAAAUGACUCCUCUCACAAUAUUAUGAUGUUCCCCAAGUUUUGGACUCAAUCCGAUAUCGAAUGGUCCUUGAAAUUGGACAAUUCAAGUUCCUACAAAGUUCGUUCUGAAAUGGGGUGGUUCUUGUAUUGUGUAGUUCUAGAGAUUGGAUUUCACUCAAAACCCACCAAAUGACUCCUCCCACAAUAUUAUGAUGUUCCCCAAGUUUUGGACUCAAUCCGAUAUCGAUUGGUCCUUGAAAUCGGACAAUUCAGGUUCCUACGAAGUUCGUUCUGAAAUGGGGUGGUUCGUGUAUUGUAUAGUUCUAGAGAUUGGAUUUCACUCAAAACCCACCAAAUGACUCCUGCCAAAACAUUAUGAUGUUCCCCAAGUUUUGGACUCAAUCCGAUAUCGAUUGGUGCUUGAAAUCGGACAAUUCAGGUUCGUACGAAGUUCGUUCUGAAAUGGGGUGGUUGGUGUAUUGUAUAGUUCUAGAGAUUGGAUUUCACUCAAAACAAACCAAAUGACUCCUCCCACAAUAUUAUGAUAUUCCCCAAGUUUUGGACUCAAUCCGAUAUCGAUUGGUCCUUGAAAUCGGACAAUACAGGUUUGUACGAAGUUCGUUAUGAAAUGGGGUGGUUGGUGUAUUGUAUAGUUCUCGAGAUUGGAUUUCACUGAAAACCCACCAAAUGACUCCUCCCGCAAUAUGAUGAUGUUCCCCAAGUUUUGGACUCAAUCCGAUAUCAAUCGAUCCACGAAAUUUGACAAUUCAGGUUCGUACGAAGUUCGUUCUGAAAUGGGGUGGUUGGUGUAUUGUAUAGUUCUAGAGAUUGGAUUUCACAAAAACUCACCAAUUGCCUCCUCCCACAAUAUGAUGAUGUUCCCCAAGUUUUGGACUCAAUCCGAUAUCGAUCGGUCCACGAAAUUUGACAAUUCAAGUUCGUACGAAGUUCGUUCUGAAAUGGGGUGGUUGGUGUAUUGUAUAGUUCUAGAGAUUGGAUUUCCCUCAAACCCACCAAAUGACUCCUCCCACAAUUUAUGAUGUUCCCCAAGUUUUGGACUCAAUCCGAUAUCGAUUGGUCCUUGAACUCGGACAAUUCAGGUUCGUACGAAGUUCGUUCUGAAAUUGGGUGUUGGUGUAUUGUAUAUUUCUAGAGAUUGGAUUUCACUAAAAACCCCCCAAAUGACUCCUCCCACAAUAUUAUGAUGUUCCCCAAGUUUUGGACUCAAUCUGAUUUCGAUUGGUCCUUCAAAUCGAACAAUUCAGGUUCGUACGAAGUUCGUUCUGAAAUGGGGUGGUUGGUGUAUUGUAUAGUUCUAGAGAUUGGAUUUCACUCAAAACCCACCAAAUGACUCUUCCCACAAUAUUAUGAUGUUCCCCAAGUUUUGGACUCAAUCCGAUAUCGAUUGGUCCUUGAAAUCGGACAAUUCAGGUUCGUACGAAGUUCGUUCUGAAAUUGGGUGGUUGGUGUAUUGUAUAUUUCUAGAGAUUGGAUUUCACUAAAAACCCACCAAAUGACUCCUCCCACAAUAUUAUGAUGUUCCCCAAGUUUUGGACUCAAUCUGAUAUCGAUUGGUCCUUCAAAUCGAACAAUUCAGGUUCGUACGAAGUUCGUUCUGAAAUGGGGUGGUUGGUGUAUUGUAGAGUUCUAGAGAUUGGAUUUCAUUCAAAACCCGCCAAAUGACUCCUCCCACAAUAUUAUGAUAUUCCCCAAGUUUUGGACUCAAUCCGAUAUCGAUUGGUCCUUGAAAUCGGACAAUUUAGGUUCGUACGAAGUUCGUUCUGAAAUGGGGUGGUUGGUGUAUUGUAUAGUUCUAGGGAUUGUAUUUCACUCAAAACUUUCCAAAUGACUCCUCCCACAAUAUGAUGAUGUUCCCCAAGUUUUGGACUCAAUCUGAUAUCUAUCGGUCCACGAAAUUUGACAAUUCAGGUUCGUACGAAGUUCGUUCUGAAAUGGGGUGGUUGGUGUAUUGUAUAGUUCUAGGGAUUGUAUUUCGCUCAAAACAUUCCGAAUGACUCCUCCCACAAUAUUAUGAUGUUCCCCAAGUUUUGGACUCAAUCCGAUAUCGAUUGGUCCUUGAAAUCGGACAAUUCUGGUUCGUACGAAGUUCAUUCUGAAAUGGGGAGGUUGGUGUAUUGUAUAGUUCUAGAGAUUGGAUUUCACUCAAAACCCCCCAAAUGACUCCUCCCACAAUAUUAUGAUGUUCCCCAAGUUAUGGACUCAAUCCGAUAUCGAUUGGUCCUUGAAAUCUGAUAAUUCAGGUUCGUACGAAGUUCGUUCUGAAAUGGGGUGGUUGGUGUAUUGUGUAGUUCUAGAGAUUGGAUUUCACUCAAAACAAACCAGAUGACUCCUCCCACAAUAUUAUGAUGUUCCCCAAGUUUGGGACUCAAUCCGAUAUCGAUUGGUCCUUGAAAAUCCGACAAUUCAGGUUCAUACGAAGUUCGUUCUGAAAUGGGGUGGUUUUUGUAUUGUAUAGUUCUAGAGAUUGGAUUUCACUCAAAACCCACCAAAUGACUCCUCCCACAAUAUUAUGAUGUUCCCCAAGUUUUGGACUCAAUCCGACAUCGAUUGGAUCAAAUACCCCCAGACCUAGAUUUUGCUAGUCCUCGAGCAAAACAAAAGAGAAUAAAGUUGAAAACAAAACAAGAAGUUAACUAAACCACUUCUGUAGGUAACUCGAUUGCAAUGUGCAUAUGCAACAAGCCUUUAAACCUCUGGGCAUCCCUAAUCGGAAGAGUUGUGUCUCCUGAGGGUUUAACAGAAACGAUACCCACAAACGCUUUACUGACUCUCUAACACCAAAAGGUUAGAAAACUAACUUUGAAAACAACUAAUGAAAGAAAACUUUAAUCAUGCAUCCAACACCAUAGAGUUACCAAGAUAGAUGAUCAAUAAGUGUGUAAAGUGGAAGCUAUAGCUCAAAGGCACACGGCUUCAAAGUAAACAUACUCAAAUCUUGAAGGAAGAACAUGCUUCAACUCUAAUUCUCACAUCUAGCACUCAAUCACUCAGAACCUAUGGUUUUAUUCUCUCAAACAAGCAUAAGUGAGUAUAUGAAAUAGAAGCACAAUAUUUGGUUAGAUCUCAUGAAGGGAAUCAAAUACUAAGAGUAGAGAUACACACAUACAUACCAGCACCCAUGAAUACAUCCUCAAAGAUCAGCUAGGUCUUUCACAAGGUUGUAAUGAAAGGCUAAGGUUAAGGGAAGUGGAAGAAUUGAAAGGAACACAACUAACUUAAGAACAUACCAAGGUUGCAUUCUUCAUUGAUCUGCAAGGUAUCAUUGAUUUAGAAUGGUAUGGCUGCAACUUCAUAGCAUCAUCUGGCAUAGACUUUAUAUUUCACAUUUAGAUCAAAUCGAAACACUUUCUCUUUAUCUUUCUUUUUCUUUUUUUUUGACUUGAUCUACUUCUUCUUUAACUUUAUUGCAUAGAUUCACACCAAUUUACAUUUGGGCAUGUGGCAGCAACCUCCUUGCUUCAAACUUUAUCUUCGCACACCUUGGUAUAUUUCUAAGCUAUAGGGUAUGGCUAUAAUUGGUUAAAUAUCUCUGAUUGAGAUACAAAGUUAGGGGAAUUAUGAGGGUGAUAGAAGAAAAAGGCUUGUAGUGUUUGGCUGCAAGAGAGCUGAUGGAACACACGAAUGGGUAGGGUGAAAAGAAAGCACAGAAAAUGGUUAUACACGCAGAGCCUAGCAUCACUUCAAUGAGUUCAUUCAUGGGUGAGAGCACGCACCUGAUAUCUGCAAAGAGAAUCAUCCUUAGUAUUCAAUCAAAAUGGGAACAAUGAGAUCAUUUAGAGUGAAUUGAAGAAAAUAAGGUAGAGAUGAGGAAUAGAAACACUUUAC
rnacentral:lncRNA from 1 species